GAAGGAUUCGGGAGCUGGAAUCUAAUGAACGAAAGCAACAACAGUUGAGAUCUCAUCUAAGAGACAAGGAAAAGGAAACUGAAGCACUUCAACAAAAGAUAGAUGAAAUGGGUAGACAUCUUCAAAUGGCAAG